rnacentral:lncRNA from 13 species
AUUCGUUCUGGAUACACGCAAUUUGGAUACCGGGAUUCUUGUUCUUUUUUGGAUUUCAAGAUUGACACACAAUGUAUUUACGCACACGGAGAAGUAGGCUACACACGCAGAGGGGGAGAUAUUGAAAAGUACUUGAAGAUUACACCAGUACGAUUCAAAGUGUGUGUGUCGGUGGUUGGGGGGGUGGCGAGAGUUUAUAGGAAAUUGAUCAAGCUACCAGUUAUUAAAUUAUUUUUGAUGUGACUUGUCUGCGAUGUCCCUGCUGAUUUUGAAUAUGUAUAUGUGUGUGUAAUAUGUAUGUAUUUUCUGUGCCCCCCUGUGGUCCAGCAUAUUUUAGUAGCUCUUGAAGAUGAUGACUUCAUCUGUCACUGUAGCUAGCCUACUGAACUUUCUACUCUGUGGGGAGAUCUCACUGUAGGAUCAGACAGGUAACAAGCUUGGACUUCAAUAGUGAUCUAUGGUGCAGUUUCAUUACUAGUUAACCAUGUUGGCUGUACUGCACUCAGAAGAGGCUCCAUCUCCAAAGAUAAAUGAACAGUGGGCAUUUAGAGCAGCAUGCUGCCCUGCCUACACCAAUUCAUUUAACAGAUGAGCAUUACGUUAAUACAACAAGAAGGGUAAUUUAAAGUUAGAUGAAGAGGAAAAGUUGGCCAGCGAGGAGGGUCCGGCAUGGGUGGCAGGUAGCCAAGUAGUUAGUGUUGGGCCAGUAACUGAAAGGUUGCUAGAUCGAAUCCCCGAGCUGACAGGGUACAAAUGUCUUCUGUCCCUGAACAAGGCAGUCAACCCACUGUUUGUCAUUGUAAAUAAGAAUUUGUUCUUAACUGACUUGCCUAGUUAAAUUAAGUUAAGAAAUAAAAAAAUAAAUGGUCGAGGCCAGGAACCUGUGACACCGCCCCUAAGCGUGAGACAUGGCCAGACUGGUUAAGCAUACAGGGUUCUGUUGGAGAUCAAAGUGACAAUGCUGCUGUGGUUCCAUGUAAACAGACCUAGUCAGCGCUCUAUGCUGACCAUUUUUACAAGGAGC